UUCCGGCGCGUCAACGCGGACCCGCCCCGCGGCUUCCGGCUUCCGGCUUCCGGCUUCCUGGGACGGUCCCGCCAAAUCAGAGUGCGAGGGUGCAGGUUAAGCUCAGGGAACAGGCUUGAGUCAGUCACCGUGACAGAGAGGAAGAGCGCGAGGCCAGAAUGCUCCAGGCGGGGAACGUGCUCCGAGAGCCCGCGCCGGCUCUGACGUCAUAGGCGUGCGUCGGAGCAGGUGCGCUAGCGUCGCCCAGAGGGUCGUCCUCGGUCGUGGGGGAGGGUGGCGUCUGUGUGGAGUUCGACGAAGUGCGUGUGGAAAUGAGGCCCUGACCAGACAGGGGCGUUGACGGUUCCGUUGAAAAUGAUUCAAGGAGUGACAAAAAGUUUAAGGAGCCGCUAGAAUUAAACCACCUUGUUCGUGCUUUCUUUUGAGAUAGGCUCGCGAGAGAAACGUGAUAGAAGUCUGUGCCUGAGUCUAGAAAGUUCCUUCCGCUUGUGAGUGAUUGGGGAGCAUCACUGCGUCCAGAGGGCGGAGCUGCCCACGCGGCUCGGGCGGCCACGGGGACGACCGGGACGACCCCCGAGGCCACGACGUCCCCGGGGCGCGCGGACCUCUCCCCGCCCCGGCCCGCAUGAGUGGGGCUCGUUCUGUGGCCGGGCGGUGGGCCUGCUGGGUGGGCUGCUGCUCUCCGUCCUGCACCCCUGUUUACCCGUCCCUUGCACUCUGCGGAGGCUUGGGGAGGAGACAGACCCUCCGCUCGGUUCUGAACGUGGAGGGGGUGUCAGUGCUUGGUCCCAGCCACACCCCCUAAAAUGAAGCGGCUGAGUGGGCGCUGUUCGGUUUGGUCUCUGCGAUGGGAAGCCUCUGCCGCGGCUCCCGGUGGCCCUCUCUUGGCCUCAUGCCUUGCUCUUUAAUAUCCCUCUGCCUUUUGUGGGAGCUGUGUUAACUGACCAGCUUCCAGCGAAUAAGAUAAGGCAGUGUCCACUGCGGCGGCACAUACCCUAAGAUUGGACCGGAGCAGGGAGGAUUAGCGUGGCCCCUGCCAGGAUGCACGCAAAUUCGUGAAGCAGCCCAUGUCUUACAGAAAUCUGAGCAAGAGUGGGUAUCUGUGCACGUAUGACUGACUCACCUUGCUGUGCAGCAAGGAACCAACAACACUGUAAAGUGACUCUACGCCAAUAAAAAUCAAUUUUAAAAGAAAGAAUAAAAUAAGACAGAAGUAUGGGGUAUUGCUUCUGAGAUUUUGUUUAAGAAGACUACAUUGCAAGGACUUCCCUGGUCAUCCAGGGGUUAGAACCCGGCGCUUCCACUGCCCAGGGCCCGGGUUGGAUCCCAGGUGGGGGAACUAAGAUCAUCCCACAAGCCGCGUGGUGAGGCCCCUGAAAAAAACAGAAAGUAAAAAACGACUGCUAGCUUGCAUACCUUGCUCUCUUGCCCCCUCUGAGGGAAGCCAGCUCUCAUCUUGACAGCUACCUUACAGAGAAGCCCACAUGGCGAGGAACAUCAGCCUCUGGCCAAUAACUAACCUUGAGGAAGUGAAGCACUCAGUUCAACGGCCUGAGGAGCUGAAUCCUGUCAACAGACAUGGCGAGGUGAGCUCGAAAGCAGAUCAGCCCCACUCAGGUCUUCAGGUGACACUUUGGCCCAGGCAACACCUUAAGGGCCACUCUGCUAGAGUCCUUGAGGCAGAGCGCCCCAGUCGCCAAGGUGUGGAAGCAGCCUAAGUGCCCAUCAGCAGAUGAGUGGAUAAAGAAGACGUGGAAUAUAUAUACACAAUGGAAUAGUACUCAGCCGUUAAAAAGAAUGAAAUUUUAGCGUUGUCAACUACAUGGUUGGACUUGGGGGUAUUAUGCUAAAUGAAGCGAGACAGAGAAAGACAAAUAUUCUGAUGUUUUCACUUGCGUGUGGAAUCUAAAAUAUGAAACCGGGCUUCCCUGGUGGCGCAGUGGUUGAGAGUCUGCCUGCCGAUGCAGGGGACACGGGUUCGUGCCCCAGUUCAGGAAGAUCCCACAUGCCGCGGAGCGGCUGGGCCCGUGAGCCAUGGCCGCUGAGCCUGCACAUCCGGAGCUUGUGCUCCGCAACGGGAGAGGCCACAACAGUGGGGGCUCACAUACUACAAAUAAAAUAAAAUAAAAUAUGAAACAAAAGAAUUAAUGUAACAAAAUAGAAACAGACUCUCACAUGUAGAGAACAAACUAGUGGUUACCAGUGAUGAGAAGGAGGGAGGAGAGAGAAGAUGGAGGGGAUUAAGAGGUACAAAUAUUGUACAGGACAGGGAAUACACCCAAUGUUUUAUAAUAACUUUAAAUGGCAUAUAAUGUACAAAUUUAGAAUCACUAUGUUGUACACCUGAAACUAAUAUAAUAUUGUAAAUCAGCUAUACCUCAAUUAAAAAAAGAAAACUUUGUAAAUUU